GUGGGGAAUAUUGGACAAUGGGCGAAAGCCUGAUCCAGCCAUGCCGCGUGUGUGAAGAAGGUCUUCGGAUUGUAAAGCACUUUAAGUUGGGAGGAAGGGCAGUAAGUUAAUACCUUGCUGUUUUGACGUUACCAACAGAAUAAGCACCGGCUAACUUCGUGCCAGCAGCCGCGGUAAUACGAAGGGUGCAAGCGUUAAUCGGAAUUACUGGGCGUAAAGCGCGCGUAGGUGGUUUUGUAAGUUUGAGGUGAAAUCCCCGGGCUCAACCUGGGAACUGCCACCAAAACUGCAUGACUAGAGUGCGGUAGAGGGUAGUGGAAUUUCCUGUGUAGCGGUGAAAUGCGUAGAUAUAGGAAGGAACACCAGUGGCGAAGGCGACUACCUGGACUGAUACUGACACUGAGGUGCGAAAGCGUGGGGAGCAAACAGGAUUAGAUACCCUAGUAGUCC
rnacentral:rRNA from 1 species